GCCUGCCCAGUGACUAUAUGUUCAACGGCCGCGGUAUUCUGACCGUGCGAAGGUAGCGUAAUCACUUGUCUUUUAAAUAAAGACUGGUAUGAAUGGCCUCACGAGAGCCUUACUGUCUCCCUUAUUUAAUCAGUGAAAUUGAUCUUCCCGUGCAGAAGCGGGAAUUUUACCAUAAGACGAGAAGACCCCAUGGAGCUUAAAACUUUCGGUUGGGGUGACCACGGAGAAAAAUAAAUCCUCCUUGAUGAAUAAACCACGAGCCACCGCUCUAAGUAUUAGAACUUCUAACUAAAUUGAUCCAAUAAUUUUGAUCAACGGACCAAGUUACCCUGGGGAUAACAGCGCAAUCCAUUUCAAGAGUCCAUAUCGACAAAUGGGUUUACGACCUCGAUGUUGGAUCAGGGUAUCCCAGUGGUGCAGCCGCUACUAAAGGUUCGUUUGUUCAACGAUUAAAACCCUAGGGGACUACGAGCGCUA
rnacentral:rRNA from 1 species